UGCUGGGAGGAAGCUGGCCCUCUUCUGCGGGUGGCGUUGCUUGUCCACCUGGUUGGCGUGCAAGUUGUUGCAACAAGAUAACAGUUCAAUUUUUCAAAAAAUUCUCUAAGGCUAAAGAAAAAGCAACAGAAGAAACCAGAAGAAAGUCAGAAAACAGAAAAAAAGAACAAAAUCAAAAUUUGCUAAUCAGGGUAUCAGUUCUUGUGACUUUCAAUAUGAGUUUCAUGUCUAUCAUGUCUUAAUAUGUGAAACAUUCUCUGGUGGGCGGAGGGGUGGGAGGGGGAGACCUGCCCGGUUCCCUCACGUGAGUAUCUGACUCCUCACCAGGUGCCUCGCAUUGUGCUUUUCAUGGCGUUCCUUCUGUCUGGAAUUUCUUGCUCUUUUUUCUUUUCUGCAUGGCAGACUCAUUUAUCCUGUGAGUUGUAGCUCAAAUACUGCUUCCCUUUUGAAAUGUCCCCUUACUCUAUGAAUUAUUUACUCUUUCUUCUGUAGCCUUGCAGCAUUUUCCCUAUCUUACCUUUAUGAUAUGUGUGUGUGUGUGACUCUCCCACCACACUGAGCACUGACCAGUGUGCCUGACACACACAAGUUGCUCAGCAGAUGUUUGUUGGGUGGAUGAUGGAUACAUGGACCAAUAAUCAUUGAUGACUUGUUGAAAAGUGAAAGGAGGAAUUCUGCUUCUGUCUGUAACUGAGUGGGAGACGUGCCCCCAUUAAGACCCAGAAAAUCCAGAAAAAAAUUCCCUAAGAAUCAUAUUUGCAGGCAUGAGAGGACCGACCGUUCAGGCAGUUUGUUUAGGUGAGCCUCACACUCCGUGCUACUUUUCCCCUUAGGAGAGUUGCCAAAAUUUUAAGCAGCUAAAAGAGAGCAGAGUUUUUGGCAGUUUCCUGGAGUUAAGGAGACAAAAAUUUGAGUUUUAACUUGCCAAGGAGGAGGGGUUAUAUAGUCAUGAACAUCCCAACCUGCAGUCAGGAUCCAUGGACACGGCCUCCCCGAGGUGCAGCACCCCCUGUGCUGAGCUCAGUCCCUGACUGUAUUCAUCUUCAGGACUCCAGCUGCCUACCAGAGUCCUUUCUCAAGGAGAAUGACAUCAUCUAAAGCCCCUACUGUUUUUCCUACACAGUGUCUGGUAUUUGAUAAAAAAGAAACCUACCAGGCAUACCAAGAAAUAGGCCAGUGGGAGAAACCAACAAAAGUAGGCCACAAGUGACCCAGAAAUUAAAGUUAUCAGAAAGGGACUUAAAAAUAACUUAGUUCAAGCAUAUAGAUAGUAAGAUUGAGAAUUUUGCCAGAGACCCAGAAUCUAUAAAAAUAUAAAGAAAUUAAAAUUCUGUAACUAAAAAAUAUCACUGACAUUAUUAACUCAAUAGGUGGGUUUAACAGUGGAUUUGUUAAAACUGAGGAGUAGAGUAGUAAAUUAGAAAGGACAUGAUUUUAGUGUGGAGAGCUGAAAGUAUUAAAAAUAUAGAAAAGAGCAAAGAGAACAUAUGGGACAUAGUGAAAAACCUAAUACAUAUGUAAUUUGAGUCCCAUAAAGGAAGAGGGAGAAAACCGAGUAGAAACAUUAUUUGGAAUGAUAAUAGCCAAGAACUUUACAAAAGUGACCAAUGAAAAUAAGCUACAGAUUAAAUAAGUACAC